AUAGAAAAAAAUGCAAAUAUUUUAGAAGCUCUUGUAAUUGGAUAUUAAAAACUCAAGUCAUGAAAUGCAUACAUUUCUUUCCCACAUAGCUUCUCCUGCAACUAGUUCAGAUAGAAGACAGAUAAAUGAGCCAGAGACCAGGAAGUAAUUGCUGUCUGAAAUGUAGCAUCCUGAAGUGCUGCUUACAUUUUUUUUCAUUUUUCAUUUUGGGGUUUUUUCCUCAAAAAUAGUGCAUUAAAAGAAAAAAAGAAAUACAAAAAAUAAAAUAAAAAAUAUUCCUAACUUUGUUGAAUCUAUAUUAUUAAAUACGUACACAUAUAUGUGUCUAUAUGUAAAAUAUAGAUAUAUAUAAAACAUACGAAUGUAUAUCUAGAUUUUUUAAUUUUAGUCUUAAAAGAGCUAAAUGACUUAGACUGUCAUUAACUGAGAUACCGCCCUUUCCUUUUAUGGUACCAGAGAUUGUUUAGAAUGCUCCCUGGUGAUGGAAACUAAAGAGUAAUUGAAUAAUGUUAUUUAUUUAUAACCUGUUUUUAUUGGAGUAGAGGUAGAAAGUUGUUGAAGUCCAUCAACUAGAGAAUGUUCCAAAGAAAAAUAUUACUUCUACAAGAUUAGAUACAGUAGAAACUUUUAAACCAUGAGAACAUAGAUCUCCAUAAAGCAUAAUUUACAGACUUUUCAGAACUGCCUAAUAUGAACUAGCUAUUGAGUCCUUACUUUGUACCAAGGAUUAUUCCAAGUGCUAGGGAAUGAGACAAAGUCUUUGGUUUAAUAAAGCUUAACUCGUUUCCAAUGUUUUCCCCCAUUUUAGUAAAGUUACAAGGAGAUCUUCUCUUUCCUCUUUUGAUGUAUUUCAACAUACCAUGGCUUCUCCACCAUACAAAUAAAAUUGAAGGAGAGUGAAGAACGAGAAACAGUAGACACAGUUAAAUGAUUAUUCACUGAUAGCAGGAGAAUCAGGCAAAUCCCACCACCUGUUUAUGGCCUCCCAACACAGACUCACUGACCAGAGAAACCAUCAGUAAGAAAGUCUAAAGUUAUCUUUGUUCCUCAAAGCAAUGAAAUGUAACACUCACAGUAGUUUUUCUGGGUACAAUAGCCUUUCUGGGUAGGCCACUGGACUUUGGGUAUAUCCAUUUAACUUUCUGGGAUUUAGCUCCAACAUCUAGAAAUAAAGAAAUUGACUAAAUAACCUUUGAGUUUCCU
rnacentral:lncRNA from 1 species